UGGGGAAUAUUGGACAAUGGGGGGAACCCUGAUCCAGCCAUGCCGCGUGUGUGAAGAAGGCCUUAUGGUUGAAAAGCACUUUAAGCGAGGAGGAGGGUACUGGUAUUAAUACUACCAGGUACUGGACGUUACUCGCAGAAUAAGCACCGGCUAACUCUGUGCCAGCAGCCGCGGUAAUACAGAGGGUGCGAGCGUUAAUCGGAUUUACUGGGCGUAAAGCGUGCGUAGGCGGCUAAUUGAGUCGGAUGUGAAAUCCCCGAGCUUAACUUGGGAAUUGCAUUCGAUACUGGUUAGCUAGAGUGUGGGAGAGGAUGGUAGAAUUCCAGGUGUAGCGGAGAAAUGCGUAGAGAUCUGGAGGAAUACCGAUGGCGAAGGCAGCCAUCUGGCCUAACACUGACGCUGAGGUACGAAAGCAUGGGGAGCAAACAGG
rnacentral:rRNA from 1 species